GUCUGGCACACUGCCCCCAGACCCAUCAAGGCAGCAGGAAACCAGGAAGCCGGUGCGAAUCCGGCACGGUCCCGCCACUGUGACCGGGCCCCCUCCCACGCGGACGAC
rnacentral:ncRNA from 2 species